UGACUGUCCUGAACCAGAUGGCUGUGGUUGGAAAUCAUAUGAUUGUCUCUCUGGCGAGAGAAGUGCCUGCUCUUGUCCAACAUGUGCCGAUUGUUGUUGUCUCCCACUGAACCCUUGCCGUGAUAUACCACUUGGCCCUUGCUGUGAUAUACCACUUGGUCCUUGCUGUGGUAUACCACUUGGUCCUUGCUGUGGUACAUCACUUGGUCCUUGCUGUGGUAUACCACUUGGCCCUUGUUGUAUGUCAUAUGAUUCAAUUUUGGAUUUUGACUUUUUACUUUUCCUUUCUGUGCGAUAUACUGUGGGUCAUUUUCUCAACUCUUCCAGACGACACCUUGCCGAUUUUUGUAUGUAUACCUUCAAUGAAUACUUCAAAAGUGAAUUUUGUUUGAGAUUUUGCGUCAGAUUAUGAAUUCACGUACUCCCUUAUAUGUAACAAGCACGUUUUUCGUCUUUGUUACCUUCUGAUUAAAAUUGGGGAAGACCUACGACAUAGUCUUUUAUCGAUUAUAAGGGUUACCAACUUGUUACCUAUAAAUGUUAUAAUUAAAUACAAAAACAGGCAAAAGGAAUAAAGUACAAAAAAAGAUCUUUUCAAUGGUAUAUAAUUUACGUUAAACAGAGGACCUCAAAAAAUUGUUUAAAAUUGUUUAACAAUUUUCUAUGUUAAUGCAUGUAAUGUAUUAGUGAGAAUGUACAAUACGUUAAAUGUUAGAGAUUUUCAUUAAUUGUUGUAUCUAUCGGCAUAAAAUGGUAAAAUUCCCUAGGAAAUCUGAUUUAUAAAUCGUGAAACAAUAUAAAUAUCGUUCAAAAUCUAUACAUUGAUAUCUUCUUUCACCUAUAUGAUAUUUUAAAGUAGAUCAGUUUAAAGAAUCAGAAUACAACUUUUUUAUUUUCUUAGUUAGUAUUUAAUUUUUCAUUAUUGAAAUGGUAUAUUAUAUUAAUCAUUGUUUAACUGUUAAAUAACAGAAUUAUAAAUAUUAUUAUUGUCGUGCAUGUUUAGAAAAUAUGUAUUGUAAAAUUACAAAAAUAAUUAGAAUACUGACAAAAGUAUAUAGUAGAAAACUUGUUAGAAAAAGAUAUUAAAGACAAGUAAAUUUCCACGAAAAUCAAAAUAGGUUCUAAUUUAAAGAAUUUAUAUUUUGGAUACUAAACUGGCAAUUAAUUAUAAAAAAUCUGUAAUUUCGAUUAGGUUGUUUGAGAUUGUUCCAUUUAGUAAGAGAACCACGGUUCUCGAAAUGAUCGUAGUGGUUGUUAUGUUUCUUGAAAGAAUAUGGCAAG
rnacentral:misc_RNA from 1 species